GUUGAUGAUGGGGUUGUGGUGACUGCGACAGGGAAGUAUUGGUGGUGGAUGUGGUGGUAGAGGUGGCAGAGGUGGUGCUGGUGGUGUUGGAGGUGGAUCUUAGUUGACGCCGGCGAAGUAAAAGACUGCAGUAAAGCUCAGCUAGCAGCACCAGAACUAGGGCCAAAACAAUGGCAAGGCUCACCACCAUCGCCAGUGUUGCUCCCAUUAUGACCUUGGAGGAGCCCUUCAUCUCUCUCUCUCCCUCUCUCUCUGUGUGCGUGCGCGUGAAGCGUGGAGUAAGAGGCAGUAAAAGAGGGGCUUGUAAUAAAAGGCAGUACUUUUAUGCGAGAAGCUUUUCGUUUUUGGCGGGAAACAGUACUUUUCCUUCGACAAGGAUAGCAGGCAGGAACCGAGGGCAUGGGAAAUUUAAAGGGCUUUUUGUUCUGAUCUAGUGGGGUUUCUCUGACAUUCGAGGUCAUAAGAGUCAUUGAACACGUAACCAUGAAAAAGUACAACGCCCUCUCUCAAGUAAUUGCUAUUAUGAAAAGGAAAUGUUUUACAGAAAGACCAAUCUUAAUCUCAACUUCUCUCGACCAAUGGGUGAAAGUUGAAUAGAAAUA